AAAAACAACAGAAAUAAU
rnacentral:sRNA from 1 species